UUUCCGUAGGUGAACCUGCGGAAGGAUCAUUAAUGAUUUUUUAAGCAAGCCAAGCUUUUUUUAAUAAAAAGUGAGGUUUUGCGAAUGUAUUUAAAACCCCCCACUCUUAAAAAAAUAUAUUUCAUUAUAAAAUGAAUAAAAAAAGAUCACUUUCAACAACGGAUCUCUUGGCUCUC
rnacentral:misc_RNA from 1 species